CACGUAGGGACCGAGCGUUGUCCGGAUUCAUUGGGCGUAAAGAGCUCGUAGGCGGCUGUUCAAGUCGAACGUGAAAACUCGGGGCUCAACUCCGAGCCUGCGUUCGAUACUGGACGGCUAGAGUCUGGUAGGGGGAUCUGGAAUUCCUGGUGUAGCGGUGGAAUGCGCAGAUAUCAGGAGGAACACCGAUGGCGAAGGCAGGUCUCUGGGCCACUACUGACGCUGAGAAGCGAAAGCAUGGGGAGCGAACAGG
rnacentral:rRNA from 1 species